GCAUAUCAAUAAGCGGAGGAAAAGAAACCAACAGGGAUUGCCUUAGUAACGGCGAGUGAAGCGGCAACAGCUCAAAUUUGAAAUCUGGCGCCUUCGGCGUCCGAGUUGUAAUUUGUAGAGGAUGCUUCAGGCGCGGCGCCGACCGAAGUUCUUUGGAACAGGACGUCAGAGAGGGUGAGAACCCCGUAUGCGUUCGGCGCGCAGUUGCCUGUGUGAAGCUCCUUCGAAGAGUCGAGUUGUUUGGGAAUGCAGCUCUAAAUGGGUGGUAAAUUCCAUCUAAAGCUAAAUAUUGGCCAGAGACCGAUAGCGCACAAGUAGAGUGAUCGAAAGAUGAAAAGCACUUUGAAAAGAGAGUUAAAAAGUACGUGAAAUUGUUGAAAGGGAAGCGCUUGCAACCAGACUCGUCCGCGGGGGUAUCGUUCGCCGUCAGGCGGACGUACACGCCCCCGUGGCCGGGCCAGCAUCGGUUUGGGCGACCGGAUAAAGGCCCUAGGAAUGUGGCCCUCCUUCGGGAGGGUGUUAUAGCCUGGGGUGCAAUGCGGCCAGCCUGGACCGAGGUCCGCGCUUCGGCUAGGAUGCUGGCGUAAUGGUUGUAAGCGGCCCGUCUUGAAACACGGACCAAGGAGUCUAACAUCUAUGCGAGUGUUCGGGUGUCAAACCCGUGCGCGUAAUGAAAGUGAACGGAGGUGGGAACCCCUCGGGGCGCACCAUCGACCGAUCCUGAUGUCUUCGGAAGGAUUUGAGUAAGAGCAUAGCUGUUGGGACCCGAAAGAUGGUGAACUAUGCGUGAAUAGGGUGAAGCCAGAGGAAACUCUGGUGGAGGCUCGCAGCGGUUCUGACGUGCAAAUCGAUCGUCAAAUUUGCGUAUAGGGGCGAAAGACUAAUCGAACCAUCUAGUAGCUGGUUCCUGCCGA
rnacentral:rRNA from 1 species